CAGAAAGGACUAAGACAGCUAAGAAUGACAGCUGUAGAGUUUCUCAAAAUAGUAAGAAAACUAGCCGUUGGACAUAUCCUAUAACAGCUAUUACUAUUAGAGGAAAGUUCUUCAGCUCCUUCGAUUCUUCAUCCUCUUCACUGUCAAUUUGCAGACAUCUGCAGCUUGAUUCAAGGCUAGUAUGCAGCUUAACUCUCAA
rnacentral:lncRNA from 1 species